rnacentral:lncRNA from 10 species
GCCAGCAUCGCUACUCUUGUGUUUGGGCUUCUAAGUGGCUAAUCAGAAAGGAGCUUCUGCAGCCUGGAACCUCUGGAGGAAGGUAUGAUUCAUCUUCCAGGACAGAGCUGGACAACAUGCGAUUUCAUCACUCUACCGAGCAUGUUUUCUUUGACAGAGAUCCAUGUAUUCUGGAAUAAGUAGACAAUCUGAAAAAAACAUAAUUAGAUUUCAUAUUUUCUUUAUUUGACAUCUCACGAAUCAAUCUUCACAUUGAAUACUGAGAGACAUGACAUAAUUGGACCUUGCUUCUAUGAAUAGAACUUUGGAUAAAGGAUCCCUGUUCUAGGCAUUUCUUUUAUAUCUUAUCCUUGAAAUUCUCAAAACACUUUAUCUGAUCUCUUAUAGUAUUGUUGACAUUUUUUUAAAUCUGUUUGCCACCAGGCAAUGAGUUAAAAGACUGGGUUAUGUCUGAAAGAUUAUAGUGUCUGCCAAUUACUUGAUUUUCAAUAUAUGCCUGUUGUCUACACUGAUAUUCCUGCUCUCAAAUGUAAAGCAUCUUUGCAUUACUGAGACCACUCUGCAAAACUCUGGGAUCUUUAAGAAUUCUGUUAUGGCAUCCUGUCAUAGUAAUAUUUUAUAGUGGCAUCAGGCACUUUACAAAUGAGUGAGUGGAUGGAUGGAUGACUUUUCUGGUAAGACCAUGUUAUUUACAGUUAUAUGACUUUAAACCACCUUUUUUUUCCUUCUAUUUCUUUGAAUAUCAUGGUCUAUUAUCAGUAGUGUUUGUAAUAACACUAAGUGUCUCCUGGAAAUAUUUCAAAACACUCACUGUAACUUAAUAGUAUAUUUCAAAAUAAUGAAAGAUAACACUAAAUAAUGAUUCAAGUCUCAAAAUUUAUCAUUUUUCCCAACAAGAAAGAGGAGUUAAAUGACCUGCUACAUAGUUUAUUCCAUUCUCCCAUUAGCUAAGUAGCCAGAAAAUCGUAUGCAAUCUAGUGCUCAGUCUGACAAGAAAAUGUAGAUUAUCAAUUGCUUCUAAAACAGAGCAUUUGGGCUUCAACUAGAUUAAGAAAUGUUACUAUUUGUCAAAAAUUACAGAGAAACCAUUAUUUUAUAUUACAAACCUCAAUGUUUUGAAAACCAAUAGUGGACAUUAUCUUUUGACAUUUAUAGAAGAUAUGUAACUCUUUAUAAAUCUUUUUAAACACUCUAGUGCAGAUAGAAGCUACAGCACAGAAUGCUUGGCUAUACUUGAAGUAAAUACUCUAGGUUAUUUAUGCCAUCCUUACUGUUUGAAAAAAAAGUUUCUGUUGUGGCAGGGGGAGUGUGGACAGAAUUGAAUACUCCAGGAAAUGGAAGAUUUAAAAAUUUAAUUCUGAUUUUUGUUCAUUCCAUUUACAGGGAUGGGGGUAAGGGGACAAAAAUUGGUAUGUAUUCUCACAUUGAAUACUGAGAAACAUGAAAUAAUUGGACCCUGCUUCUAUGAACAGAACCUUGGAUAAAGAAUCCCUGUUCUAGGCAUUUCUUCUUAUUUUAGAGUUUUGUAGGGAAAUUUGAAUUUAUAUAUUAUUGAACAGUUUCUGUCACUGCAGAUAGACACUUCUCUAAAUUAUUAUUUCACAGUAGAUAAAUACACAAACAACUUAACAUUAGCUUUUGAUCACUUGCUAAAAUUAGCAUUAGUCAAUAAUCUUUGUAAAACAUGUAACUAUUAACUCUUUGUUUUUUCUUGUCUGAAACUGUCAUAAAAAUUGUACCUAUCUGAUGUCGUUAUUAUGAUGUUCGGUGAGUUAAUACAAUGUUUGUAAAAAUGCCAAACAUGCUGCUCAUAAAUAUUAAAACCUCAUGAAUAAUACCUAUUAUUAUGACUAGCUCAGGAACCACUGUUCUAUUUCAGUAAAAUAUAUUUAUAGAGCAUUCAAAUUACAGAUAGGGUAAGUGAAUGGCGAUUGGAUUAGCAAUAAUGGCUCACAAUCAGAAAUCAAAAACCAAAAGUCAAAAAGGUGAAUCUGGUUUCAUGUUUUGAUAGAUCUAUUUGAUUGAAAAAACAAACACUUUUCUUCACUCUCAGUCCUUAGAACCCACCUGGCCCUCCACUGGCACUGCUCUCUGAGGAAAAAUGGAGCGGAGUGGGGGUCAAGGGUUGACACUUUCUCCAGCUUGGCCUCUGUCACAGUGAGUGACAAAAGCCUGGCCUGUCCCUUUCAUGGUAGGUGUUUUCUUAAUAAACCACCCCAACUCCUGGCAGCUCAGCUCUUUCCUGCUCAGCUGAACUCCUGACAAAUAUAAUGCUCCAGUAAAUGGUGUUAGAUGACUCAAGAAGUGACACUAUGAUAAUGGAUGCUGAUAUUAAAGUACAUGUAAAAAGCUUGGACAAGAUGUUUCAUUAAAGAAAAUUAGAGAAAAGCAAUAUUUUUAAAUAUG